AUUGAACGCUGGCGGCAUGCCUUACACAUGCAAGUCGAACGGUAACAGGUUAAGCUGACGAGUGGCGAACGGGUGAGUAAUGUAUCGGAACGUGCCCAGCCGGGGGGGAUAACUGCUCGAAAGGGCAGCUAAUACGGCAUACGACCGGAGGGUGAAAGGGGGGGAUCGCAAGCCCCCGCGCGAUUGGAGCGGCCGAUAUCAGAUUAGGUAGUUGGUGAGGUAAAGGCUCACCAAGCCGACGAUCUGUAGCUGGUCUGAGAGGACGACCAGCCACACUGGGACUGAGACACGGCCCAGACUCCUACGGGAGGCAGCAGUGGGGAAUUUUGGACAAUGGGCGCAAGCCUGAUCCAGCCAUGCCGCGUGCGGGAAGAAGGCCUUCGGGUUGUAAACCGCUUUUGUCAGGGAAGAAAAGGUUCUGGCUAAUACCUGGGACUCAUGGCGGUACCUGAAGAAUAAGCACCGGCUAACUACGUG
rnacentral:rRNA from 1 species